rnacentral:lncRNA from 1 species
CGCAUCAAAGAUACUAUUUAGUGGAGUUAGUGUCACUAUCGGAGAGCACCCCUUAGUCGUAACAUGGCGUACUCGACCUCAAAUAGGUCUUAUACAAGCUUCACAGCAUUCAUAAUAUUCGACCAUAAGUAAAAAAUGGCUAGGAAUUAAAACUUUUCAUUUAAAAACCCUUCACUUCAAGAACACGACAUUCAAAAUCAUAGCGGAAGCCAACAUCUCACAUGGCCAUCUAACCAAGACACGGAACCUAAAGAUAGGGUCACGACCCUUCACAAUCAAAAGACUUAAACAAAACUAGACAUAACCUAUUAUGAAUUAAAUACAAGAAACUUCUAAAUACUUGUCCCCGCAUCAUGAGGACAUACACUUGGUCUUGGAGAACUCUUCCCAAGCCCUUGAAUCUAGAGAACUCUAUCUCUUGCCGAAAUCUACACUUGUAGUAAAAAGUAGAAGAAAUAUGGGUUAGCAUAAUUAAGUACUAAGUAUGAUGACCAUGCAAAAACAUGCUUAGAAAGGGACAUUUCGUUUGAAAGUCAUGCAUAUGUCAUUUUGGUAAAACUUCAUAAUUAAGAGCAUAUUAGGCAUAAUCUCUAAAACAAAUCAACAUACUAAUCAUAUCUUCACAUUAGGACAUAUUCAACAUACAAGCUUUGGACAGUACAUAUUCAUAAGAAUAAUAAGCAUUACAUUCUUCACAUAAACACAUUAAGACCAUCCCCUAAGGACAAUUCUAAAUCAUACUUGUGCAAUGUAUGAGUAGCAUAACAUAAUACUACUCACUCUUAGUAUUUCUUAAAGUCACCCUAGACUAGGCACGUUCAUAAUCAUUAAGUAUACACAAGGAAGUAACUCGUAAUACAACCCAAGAAAGACAUACAUUAUUACAUAAAUUACAUAAGUCAACAUUCUAUAUUAACUUUAUUAAGAGUUCCAUCAUUCAUUAGACAUUAUGUCAACAUCCUUAAUAGCAUACUCAUAAGACAUAAUAACAAAAUCACAUAAGUAAUCCUAGAUUGCACUUGUGCUAUGUGUACAUAAGGUCCUAAGUAUCAUCUUUGGACUACCAUGAUCAUACCUAUCAUACACAUUGUAAAGAGACAUUCAUAAUCAUGUUCAUGUUCAUAAUUCAUAAACAUACUUCAUCAUAUUCAUAGGAGACAUGCUUCAUGUUCAUAGCACAUAACAUAAUGCAUAUUCAUAGUGCAUAAACAUAAUGCAUAUUCAUAGUACAUAACAUAAUGCAUAUUCAUACUACAUAAACAUAAGAGGAACACACAAUGACUACUCUCAAAGUUCACUUGUGCAAUGUAUGAAUGACAUCCCAUACUACCAGUCAUACCAAGUAAACCAUUUGAGGAACCAUAACAUAUAACUCACUUUCGCAUUCAUAAUUCAUAUUCUUGUUCAUUAGAGGGAAUAUAGUCUUAACCGACACAGACCAUGUGCUACAUGAAAUCUGGUGUCAUAUGACCCCACACCAAAAAAAGGCAUCCUACUUGCCUAAAUUAGAACUAACAUUUUUAGCUUUAGUAUGGAUUCACUAGCUAAUACCUAUGCGGACACAUAGUUAUGGGAUAAGUAGAUUUCUUUUAGAAUCGCGACCUAAUUACUAGCGGGAGAGUUUCCAUCUCAUGAGAGAAUAUGUAGAAGACCCAGCCUAACUAGUGGGAGAGUUUCUACGUCAUUUGUCAUAUUCCCUCGCUGCUAAGCAUUAAUCCCGAACUUAUACAUUAGCAGUCUUUAGAUUGUAUCUACACGUGUAAAGGAAUACUUUGGCCUUCAUUCAAUACAAUUCAUAACAUAACUCGCUGAUUCAAUAAGGUGAGAACUACAUUUCAUCUUUAGAAUUCUAAUAUACAUGUGAGAAAUCCUUUUACAUACAUUCAUAGUGUUUUCAUGAGAACUAUCUUUCAAUCAAUACAAUAGGAUCAUCAUAGACAUGUAAAUUUCAUAUUUCAUAAUGCAUAAAGGUGCAUAUGAGAACUGUACUUUCAAUCGACACCAUGAAUACAUCAUAAUUAUAUUUAUACAUGGAGUGUGUGUUUAAAUAUCCCUACUAUGACAAAACAACAACAACAUUAUCAUCGUAGACACUUCCCUCUCAAAGUGUUCAUAAACAUGUACAUACUAUCAUAAUUAUGCAUAAUCUUCAUAUAUUAUUUAUAGACCGUGCAACUCAACACAUCCACAUUCAUUAUACUAGAAAUGUACAUAAUCGUAAUUGAAUCAGUUAAUUCAUUCAUUGCAUGUAUAUACUCAUAUAAUCAUAUUGCAAAUCAUGUAGGUAUAACCCUUCCGCGAUAGCACUAGAUACAAUUCAACAUAUAUCAUAAUGUAAGCUCAUCCACCAUAAGUGGAUCUAUCCAUUCAUAUUCACUAACUAAACACCUCCACCAUAAGUGGAUCACACAUCAAUCUAUCAUAAUUUUAUAUCAUUAAAGAUCAAUCUCAACCCAUAGAUUCGAGAUACUACAAGAGGCAAGACAAUUGACAUCAUUCAUCAUCCACAUAAUCAAUUCAUCUCACCAAUACAUCAAUAAUUCACCACAAUAAGAUAUAAUUAAUGUCAUGACUUUAUAAAGAACUUCAUACAAGCAAUUACUAUCCAUUAUAAAUCCAUAACUAACCAAUUUCCAAAAUAAAAGAGUUUGGGAAAAAUCAUGGGUUCUUCAAGAAAUUCAAUAUAAAAAUCAACUUAUAAUUAUCAAUUAAACCUUAAUUCAUCAAUAUAAAUGCUUUAAAAAUGUUUUAGCAUUGAACCCAUGUUUAAAUUAGAAAAUCGGAUUUUGAUCUUUGAAAGAUUUUGAAAUUCUUUUUGAUUGGACUCCUUGAAAUAAAGAUUGAUCGAGGAUGAAGGACCACCAUACCUUUAUUAAGAAACAUUGAAGAAAAUUGAUGAAGAAACUCUUCUGAAAUCCCCAAAUCCAAGCUUCUAUGACUUCUUCUUCUUUGAGUUUAGAGAGAGAAAUAUUGGAGGAAAUGAACUUUUUGAUUUGAAGUGGGUCUUUGUGAAAGUGAUUUAUUU